GUGGGGAAUCUUCCGCAAUGGACGAAAGUCUGACGGAGCAACGCCGCGUGAGUGAAGAAGGUUUUCGGAUCGUAAAGCUCUUUCGUUAGGGACGAACGUGCUCUUUGUGAAUAAUGAGGAGUAAUGACGGUACCUAAAUAAGAAGCCACGGCUAACUACGUGCCAGCAGCCGCGGUAAUACGUAGGUGGCAAGCGUUGUCCGGAAUUAUUGGGCGUAAAGCGCGCGCAGGCGGGAUAUCAAGUCUGUCUUAAAAGUGCGAGGCUCAACCUCGUGAGGGGACAGAAACUGGUAUUCUUGAGUGUCGGAGAGGAAAGUGGAAUUCCAAGUGUAGCGGUGAAAGGCGUAGAGAUUUGGAAGAACACCAGUGGCGAAGGCGACUUUCUGGACUGUGUCUGACGCUGAGAUGCGAAAGCCAGGGUAGCGAACGGGAUUAGAAACCCUAGUAGUCC
rnacentral:rRNA from 1 species